CCUGACCAUCCGGGUGCCUCCACUAGGGCUGGUGGGAGCUGACAGGCUCCCCAGUGCCUCCACACUCCCUCCUGUGUAAGACAGGGAGGGCUGCCACAGGGAAUGAUGUACCUCUAGCCUGCUGGAGUAGAAAAGGAGGGAAAAUAGAGUACAGAAGGGCUGGCGAGAGAGUCCACCUGAAGCAGCUGCCCACAGGAAGAUGAGUCUAUGGUGAUCAGCAGAUUAAUUCUUUAAAGUGGAAGACUGCCAGCAAGAUGUGUCAGCAGCUCUCCUUGGCGGCAGAAGGUGGGAGAGCCUGCCUUUUGGGAGGACUUAUUCUGCAAUUCAUGGGGUCGCAAAGAGUCGGACACGACUGAGCGACUGAACUGAACUGAACUGAUUCUGGAUGUUUUAGUUUAGUUUUAUUUUUGCAGAAGUGGGAUCAAAUGGCACAUCUACCUUUGUAAUAUGCUUUUUGACUUGAUAAUAUGUCCUAGAGCUCGUAACCAUGUCAACCUGUGUAGUCUUUUUAUAACUGCUGUGGAGGGUCCCUAUAUCAUGUUUUAACUACUUCUUUUUAUUAAGGACAAGAAUCUGCUGGCUCAUUCAGUAAAGAGUCUGCCUGCAAUGCGGGAGACCCAGGUUCAAUCCCAGGGUUGGGAAGAUCCCCUGAAGAAGGAAAUGGCAACCCACUCCAGUAUUCUUCUCUGGAAAAUUACAUGGCCAGAGGAGCCUGGUGGGCUAGGGGUGACAAAAAGUUGGACACGACUGAGAAAUGAGAAAGUUUCACUUUCUCUAUUGAUGAUAUUUGGUUUGCUUCUAGGAUUCUGCUAUAUCAAAAAUAAAUCUAAAAUACAC
ensembl:lncRNA